rnacentral:rRNA from 1 species
GAUGAACGCUGACAGAAUGCUUAACACAUGCAAGUCGAUGGGGAAGUGGUGCUUGCACCAUGGCAACCAUGGCGGACGGGUGAGUAACGCGUAAGGGACUUACCUGCAGGACUAGGAUAACAGGGGGAAACUCCUGACAAGACCGGAUAAUGUCAUGGAGCUGCAUGGCUUUAUGAUGAAAGGAGACGCCUGCGGAGAGCCUUGCGUCCUAUUAGCUAGUUGGUGAGGUAAUGGCUCACCAAGGCGAAGAUAGGUAGCCGGCCUGAGAGGGUGGACGGCCACAAGGGGACUGAGAUACGGCCCUUACUCCUACGGGAGGCAGCAGUGGGGAAUAUUGGACAAUGGGGGCAACCCUGAUCCAGCAAUUCUGUGUGCACGAAGAAGGUUUUCGGAUUGUAAAGUGCUUUCAGCAGGGAAGAAGUAAGUGACGGUACCUGCAGAAGAAGCGACGGCUAAAUACGUG